GUUCUCUUCCUCUUUAUCGAUUAGUUGCAAAAUUGUUCAUAUUCAAAAACUAUAUAUAUAUAUAGAGUCUGGCUUGGAUACUUUGGAUAGCAUCAAGGAUUUGGUGCUAUCGACUUUUUUACCGUUAAAUUUAACCCAUUGAUUAUUUUUACCUAUUAGAUUAUACUAUUCAACCAACCAACCACCCACUCAAUCCUAAGGAGUCCACAUUAUCCUAAUCGCACAUUUUUCAAUCCAAAGGCUAAAAAAUUAAUAACACCUAUAGUUUGAUACUAUUGAUAGUAUUUCAGCCUAGUUCUACAUAUAUAUAUAUAUAUAUAUAUAUAUAUAUAUAAAAUCCAACUGCUAUUCUU
rnacentral:lncRNA from 1 species